rnacentral:sRNA from 1 species
CGCAUGUGUGUAUGGAUGUAGUGUAUAGAUGAGAUCAUCAAGCUACACUGACUUAGUUUCUGAUUAUGGGAAACAGGAAACCAAACUUUCUAAAAAUGAUUAGUAAGUUUUUGUUUAAUCAAAUGGCUGGCAGAAACUUGAAAUUUCUUUAACAUAUUAGCUAUAAGUUCUAUAGAAAGUUCUUUUAGGAAAGAAAAAAUAACCAUUCCAAGAAACUUCUUUUCUGUUUUUUCUAUUAUAGUGAGCUGCAUAGUUCUCCUAAGCAAGGAGGUGGACUUCAUCCUCCUUACCUCUUUCACCCUUGCCUACCCCAGGGACUGUCUGACAAGACCUAAUAUCAGAUUCAUCAGUAAGAAUCCCGAUUCUACGCAAAGAAAUUGAAUUGAUUCUGUUUUUUUCAAGAGAUGAAAUUGCUUCUUGUGGUUAUGAAGGCAGGUAUGGAGAAGCUAAGUGAGUUCUAUUUCUUAAUGGAUAGUUGUUUUUUUUUUUUAUAUUUUUAGAAAGAUAAAGCCUCGCAAGUCAGUUCUACAAUUUCCACUUAUGAAAUAUAUAUUACAGAGGAAAUAUUUUAGUCAGAGUCUUUCAUCUAUACUACCAUGUAAAGAAUUUUAAAUAACAUAAUAGUCCCUAGUGAUCCUCCAGUGAAA